CGUAGCGUAUAUUAAAGUUGUUGCAGUUAAAAAGCUCGUAGUUGGAUUUGUGGUGUUCUUCAUGGGUCCAAUUUUGGUACUUUUGGGGACCGCCAUCCUUGGGUGGAUCCUGUGUGGCAUUAGGUUGUCGUGCAGGGGAUGCCCAUCGUUUACUGUGAAAAAAUUAGAGUGUUCAAAGCAGGCUUACGCCGUUGAAUAUACUAGCAUGGAAUAAUGAGAUAGGACCUGGGUACUAUUUUGUUGGUUUGCGCACCUAGGUAAUGAUUAAUAGGGACAGUUGUGGGUAUUCGUAUUCCAUUGUCAGAGGUGAAAUUCUUGGAUUUUUGGAAGACGAACUAAUGCGAAAGCAUUUACCAAGGA
rnacentral:rRNA from 1 species